rnacentral:rRNA from 1 species
UACGUAGGGUCCGAGCGUUGUCCGGAUUUACUGGGCGUAAAGGGUGCGCAGGCGGACUGGUAAGUCAGUGGUGAAAUCUCGUCGCUUAACGACGAAACUGCCUUUGAUACUAUCAGUCUUGAAUCCGGUAGAGAUCUGUGGAAUUCCGAGUGCAGCAGUGAAAUGUGUAGAUAUUCGGAAGAACACCAGUGGCGAAGGCAGCAGAUUGGGCCGGUAUUGACGCUCAGGCACGAAAGCAUGGGGAUCAAACAGG